rnacentral:rRNA from 1 species
AUGGGGCUGGACGGAAGCCUCUUUUUCUAUCAGUGGUCGUUGCCCCCCCCCACCGCCCAAGCCUGCUCUGCUCGUCUCGCCACCGACCGGCUCUGCUCGCCACCGCCCCUCUCUGCAGCCCCGGCGCCGCUCUCACUCCCUCCCAAGCCCCACGCCAUGCGCGCCACGACGCGCGGGAAGGAGUCGUCGAAGUCCGCGAGGAGCAGCACCAGCGCCUCCGCACCUCUGCUCGCCGCCCCUUCCACGCCCGCUCCCGCCCAAGCUCGCCCCGUGAUCUCGCCCAGGACACGCCGCGCCGCCCGCGUGACCCCGCGAGCGCCUCGCCCGGGCCCUGCGGCCUCCGCCAGCGCCGGGGCGGAGGGAGGGCCGAGCGGCGUCGCUGGGGAGGAGGCCGAGAGCGCGCGGAUGGCCGCCCAUGCUCGUCCACCUCGCCCGGGCCCCGUGGCCUCCGCCAGCACCGAUGCGGGCCACCACGGCCUCCACCUCCUCGUCGACGCGGUGGUGCGGCUGCGCGCACAACGUGGAACAGCGGCGUCGGCCGUCGGUGGCCCUUCGGCGCGGUGGAGAUGGCCAUUGGUCGCCACGCUUGGGGCCGGUGCGCCCGGUGCCGGGGCCGCCCGUGGCCUCCGCACUCGGUGCCGCCCGGCCGCCCAUGGCAGGCCUGGCCGGUCGCCUGGACCACGGCCGCACUCCUCGUCCACGCUCCCCAGCGUGACCUUCGGCUGCGGCAACACGAACGAGGGCGACGGGUUCCCGGCGUGGCUGGAGCUGCAGGAGAGAGGCCAUGCACGUGGUGGGCCUAGGAGGAAAAUAGGAGAGAGAGGGAGGAGAGAGGCUGACAUGUGGGGCUUUUGCAUGCAAAAGAGAGCGCCGGCGCCCCCAGCUGCCUCCCGGUUUGCUGCGUUCCGUUUGCGCGCGCCGGCCGUAACUUUAGACAAAUCCGGCGCUUUUUGA